UUGAGGUUAUAUGGUCAACAGAAUAAGCGCAUCCGGUGGAUGCCUAGGCGGCAAGAGGCGAUGAAGGAGGUAGUAGCCUGCGAUAAGCUUCGGGGAGCCGGCAAACAGGCAUUUUUACCCGGAGAUGU
rnacentral:rRNA from 1 species